rnacentral:lncRNA from 1 species
AUGUCAGUGAUGAAUCUACCACUAGUCUUUAGGACAGUAUCAGCAAUGUUAUCCUCUUGCCGAAGAAAAAAGGCCUCCUCAACCAGCUCGUGUCCCUCUGCUUAUGUUUAUGACCUUGGGAGACUGGCAGCCAGAGAAGGAAAUGAAGGGCAGAUGCUGAAUUCCAGAUACGCUCCCAAGUUCAUCUGGCCCGGUAUGGUUCCCACCUUUCUGUACACUACGCUCCCAACUCAUGCCUCACCCAUCGCUGUUCCCAGGACACACGGUCGUGUUUCACGUGUUUUCGUGUCUUUCCUCAUCCUGUUCUUCCCAAGUGGAGCCUCUGCUCUGUCCGUCUCUGUCCCGGGUCCCUGUCACCCGCGGAGGACCAGUUGCAACUGCACCAGGAAGCCCUGGCCAGUCCCUCCCCACUGCUGCCCAGCCCAGCCCCAUGCAGAUGAAGAGCUCUUUCCGUGCUGCUCUUACAACAAACACAUUGUGGUUGUAUCAUUAUUAUAAAAGAUGUCAAAGCG